UACGUAGGGUGCAAGCGUUGUCCGGAAUUAUUGGGCGUAAAGAGCUCGUAGGCGGUCUGUCGCGUCGGCUGUGAAAACCCGGAGCUCAACUCCGGGCCUGCAGUCGAUACGGGCAGACUGGAGUUCGGCAGGGGAGACUGGAAUUCCUGGUGUAGCGGUGAAAUGCGCAGAUAUCAGGAGGAACACCGGUGGCGAAGGCGGGUCUCUGGACCGAUACUGACGCUGAGGCGCGAAAGCGUGGGGAGCAAACAGG
rnacentral:rRNA from 1 species